AAUAUUUCAUAUAUAUAUAUAAUAUUUUAAAGAAUUAUUAAAUUUAUUCUUAAAUAAAAGUUAUUCAACAACUUGUGUGUGGAAAUUUAGGACCACAUUGGGUAUUGUACAGUAUGAUCUGUUUCUCUAAUCCAAUUGUAUACCUUUUUCAGUUAGCUAUUAAAGUGGCAUAGAAAUUCAAUCUUUUUUUCACCAUCUGAUUUUGUUGGUAUUGCAAUUAUCUUCAUUAUCUGAACUGUGAAACAUGGUCACAACUCACAGAAUUUACAAUUUUAAAUAUUAAAUAACACUAGUUUCAUCUUGAUACAAAAUUCUCCACUGUAGCUUAAUGUUACUUUCCAAGUUGACAUUCUGAAUGACAAGAUAUUCUAAUGUCCACUAUAGGCUGAUCAGUUGGAAGAUGGAGUUUAACAAGCUGGACUCUGAUUCUUCCAGAAAAUAUUUAUGCAGGUGUGGGACCCAGGAGUUGAACAUUGAUCCUCCACUCUUCUGUCACAACUUUCCAAUACAAAGAUUAACACUUAACAAGUAUUUCUUAACUAUACUUAUUAAUAAUCCAGGACCUUUAAUAAUAAUGCACUUUAAAUUAAAAGAAGAGCAUGACAAAACAGUGGAAAUCUAUGAAAUUGUGAAUUACUAGUUUUAGAAACAUGUUGCCAGAUUGUGGGAUAUUUAAAGCAUAUCCAUUUGACAAAAAACAGUGUUGCUUUAGUCUUUUAUUUUAAAAUCAUCAUAAGAACAUUACAUUUUUCUUUCAUACAUUUAAAAAAAAUUGAGAUAUUGUCCUGAGGAGGAUUUGCCCAUGAGAGCAACUUGAGUGGAAACUCAAAAUAAGAAAAAUUUUCUUCUAAAAUUUCUCCUAUAAUUGUUAGCAGCUAUAUUUAGCUUAAUAAAAAUGAAAUAAGGAAAAUUGUGAAUUUUUCUUAUUUUAUUUUUUUAAAUCUUGAGAGGAAAAUUAUGAGAGAGACUAUUUUGUAACUAAAUACGGUUUUGUAAAUAAUUUACAAAAUUUUAUAUUCUACCUGAAUAUGAUAAUUGUUGUGUAUGGC
rnacentral:lncRNA from 1 species